GGGAAGGAGUGCAUCUCAGAGCUCCAGGGAGAAGUUUGGUGGGAAGUCCAAAGCCAGGAAAGGGGGAACUAUAGAAGCCCUGGAGAGAUAACAGCUGCACUGCAGCAAGGACUGGAGCUGAUGGUGGGGAGCUGAAACACGAACCCUGCAGCUUUGUUCAGGCUUCCCCACAAGGCAUUUAUUUCUCUAUGACUUCUGGAUUGCAAGUGCCCAGUAUGGAGGACUGCAACAAUCCCAUGGAAGGGAUGAGAGAGAGGGUUGAAGAUGGAGUGCUUCUUCCAGGAGUUAAUGAUGGGUAGUUUGUGCAGAGGCACAGCUCUGUGCCUUGGGUAGCUGCAUAGUGCCGGGGCAGUGCCAACUUCUACUGUGCCAAUUGUGCCAGACCAAUCAGCUGCUGCUGUGGCAAUGACUGCUUUUCUGUCCUCCAACCAGGUGGCACUCAGGGCUGCUACCCCAUUCACCUUCCCCACCCUCACUUCCCAGUUAUGCUGCUACAUAUGUGCCCAUAUCUAUAUGACCUAAAUGCACCCUUCACCAGUGUGGGCCUUUGACAGUUAAACCCUAAAUUCUGAAUGUUACAUUUAAUAAUGGAGUCCAGUGGCUCUGGACUAGUUUUUUAUACUGCUUUCCUGCAAUGAGUAACAGGAGGUUGCCCUUGAUUUCCUAUCUGCAGCUGAGGUAAUCAGCUAGGUUCAAACUAAGAUUCUUUUCUAGGUUGGAACAGAGGGUUUACUUUUUUGAAGCUACAAUAAAAAUUUGGGCCAAAUAAACAGCUGUACACCCGAAUUAAAAAAAACAAGCAAAACCUCCCAGAACAAAAACGAAACUCAGAUGCCUGCAGUGGAUGUAAUCAGGGAAUCUGCUGAUCUGUUUAAUUUUGUUUUGUGUGGGGGGGGUGCAUCAGAAAACACGUGAAAAAAAGCUGAAACCCCACCCCAGAGGCUUUUUCCUUCCUGAGUAUGUGAAAUGGGGUUAUUUAUUCCUCUGCAAAGUGAUGUAAAUUUGGCAUUCAACAUAUAUAUCAAAUUUUACACAAAUGUUAUUGUGAUUUAGUGACAUCUUAAACUGCCUGCAAAGAGCUGUAAUUAAUAGAUUCAAAGAACUUAAGGGGAAAACAGACUAUUAGAUCAUGUCACUUCCUGUCUGUCAUGGCUGCUGCUCCUGCAGUGUCAUCAACUGAAGACUGGGGAGGGUGUCCAUGUCACCUGUAACCCCGGGCUUCACCCCUAGCUGGUAGGUUUCUGUGGGUCUGUAACACUGGCCAUGUAGAGAUAUUACAUUCAUGUCACUACAAACACACUUAUAAUGUUGUAAUGCCAUCAUACAUAUAUGUAAACUGUCUGCCAUGUUACAAAAAAUGAUGGAUCUACCACAAAAAUGUUCCUCUUUCACAGAGGAACUUUUCUGUAGCAGUAGGGCAGUUUGCAAUGCCACAUGUAACAUCUGUUUAGCACUUCAGGGGGGCCCUCAGACCCCCAGCAUCCCACAGUCCUCUGCUCUCCCUCCCCUCCUCCAAGGGUGGAUGUAUUUGUAUUCAGUAAUAUAUACAGUUCAUUCUGAAGUCAGUUACAAAUAGUGCACACAGCUCUGAUUAAAUAAACAGCCUUUUGUAUAUUGUCAAACCCAUGGUAUGCAUCACUGCCCAUGUUUAUUGCCCUUGUGUAACAAGCAUAAAACGUUUCAUUAAUAAGAAAAAAAAUAUCCAGCACUGUUUUUUCAAAAGCUUCAGGAACUCUAAUGGGUUAAAAAUCAGCAGCCUUUUAAUUUUGUUUCAUUAAGUAACAGACCAUUAAAAAUAUUAUGUCAAAACAGCAGCAGCUUCCAUUACCUCUCAUGGGAGUCCCACUAAUGACUUAAGCCUCCUAUUCAGUGAACAGAGAAAAACAGUUAGUGACAGUAUCAUUCUGCACAGCUAUUGAUUACACUGCCUAACAAUUAAAGAGCCAGAUUACAAACAUGCCUGUCACCUUAAUGUGAAAAUCAUUGCUUAUUUUAAAAAUAAAGUUACCUCUUUCACACUGUGCCCAUCUUCAUUUCAAAUAUUCAUUC